CCUACGGGAGGCAGCAGUGGGGAAUUUUGGACAAUGGGGGCAACCCUGAUCCAGCAAUGCCGCGUGAGUGAAGAAGGCCCUCGGGUUGUAAAGCUCUUUUGUCAGGGAAGAAACGGUGGUUCCUAAUACGAGCUGCUAAUGACGGUACCUGAAGAAUAAGCACCGGCUAACUACGUGCCAGCAGCCGCGGUAAUACGUAGGGUGCAAGCGUUAAUCGGAAUUACUGGGCGUAAAGCGUGCGCAGGCGGUUAUAUAAGACAGAGGUGAAAUCCCCGGGCUCAACCUGGGAACUGCCUUUGUGACUGUAUGGCUAGAGUGUGUCAGAGGGGGGUAGAAUUCCACGUGUAGCAGUGAAAUGCGUAGAUAUGUGGAGGAAUACCGAUGGCGAAGGCAGCCCCCUGGGAUAACACUGACGCUCAUGCACGAAAGCGUGGGGAGCAAACAGGAUUAGAUACCCUGGUAGUCCACGCCCCAAACGAUGUCUACUAGUUGUCGGGACUUAAUUGUCUUGGUAACGCAGCUAACGCGUGAAGUAGACCGCCUGGGGAGUACGGUCGCAAGNUUAAAACUCAAAUGAAAUUGACGG
rnacentral:rRNA from 1 species